UGCCAGCAGCCGCGGUAAUACGUAGGUGGCAAGCGUUGUCCGGAUUUAUUGGGUUUAAAGGGUGCGUAGGCGGCCUUGUAAGUCAGUGGUGAAAUAUCUCAGCUUAACUGAGAGGGUGCCAUUGAUACUGCAGGGCUUGAGUACAGAUGAGGUAGGCGGAAUUGACGGUGUAGCGGUGAAAUGCAUAGAUAUCGUCAAGAACUCCGAUAGCGAAGGCAGCUUACUAAGCUGUAACUGACGCUGAGGCACGAAAGUGUGGGGAUCAAACAGGAUUAGAUACCCUGGUAGUCCACACUGUAAACGUUGAUGACUCGAUGUUGGCGAUACACAGCCAGCGUCCAAGAGCAAUCGUUAAGUCAUCCACCUGGGGAGUACGCCGGCAACGGUGAAACUCAAAGGAAUUGACGGGGGCCCGCACA
rnacentral:rRNA from 1 species